rnacentral:rRNA from 1 species
UACGUAGGGGGCAAGCGUUGUCCGGAUUUAUUAGGCGUAAAGAGCUCGUAGGCGGCUUGUCGCGUCGGCUGUGAAAACCCGCGGCUCAACUGUGGGCGGGCAGCUGAUACGGGCAGGCUGGAGUUCGGUAGGGGAGACUGGAAUUCCGGGUGUAGCGGUGGAAUGCGUAGAGAUCCGGAAGAACACCGGUGGCGAAGGCGGUUAGCUGGGCAGUUGCUGACACUGAGGCGCGACAGCGUGGGGAGCAAACAGG